CGCGGGGUAGAGCAGUUUGGUAGCUCAUCGGGCUCAUAACCCGAAGGUCGCAGGUUCGAAUCCUGCCCCCGCUACUA
rnacentral:tRNA from 1 species